rnacentral:rRNA from 1 species
GACAGAGGCCCCAAGCGUUAGGCGGAAUCACUGGGCUUAAAGCGUGUGUAGGCGGAUGCCUAAGUACCUUGUGAAAUCCCACGGCUCAACCGUGGAACUGCUGGGUAUACUGGUUGUCUUGAGCCAGCUAGGGGCGAGCGGAACAGACGGUGGAGCGGUGAAAUGCGUAGAUAUCGUCUGGAACGCCGAAGGUGAAAACAGCUCGCUGGGGCUGCGCUGACGCUGAGACACGAAAGCCAGGGGAGCGAACGGG